CGGAACUAACAGAUUUACUUCGGUAAUGACGUUAGGAAAGCGAGCGGCGGAUGGGUGAGUAACACGUGGGGAACCUGCCCCAUAGUCUGGGAUACCACUUGGAAACAGGUGCUAAUACCGGAUAAGAAAGCAGAUCGCAUGAUCAGCUUUUAAAAGGCGGCGUAAGCUGUCGCUAUGGGAUGGCCCCGCGGUGCAUUAGCUAGUUGGUAAGGUAAAGGCUUACCAAGGCGAUGAUGCAUAGCCGAGUUGAGGGACUGAUCGGCCACAUUGGGACUGAGACACGGCCCAAACUCCUACGGGAGGCAGCAGUAGGGAAUCUUCCACAAUGGACGCAAGUCUGAUGGAGCAACGCCGCGUGAGUGAAGAAGGGUUUCGGAUCGUAAAGCUCUGUUGUUGGUGAAGAAGGAU
rnacentral:rRNA from 1 species